rnacentral:lncRNA from 1 species
UCCCCAUUUUACAGAUAAGGACACUGAGCCAUGGAGUGGUUAAGUGACUUGUCUAGGUCAUAAAGCUAAAUUGUCUGAGACAAGAUUUGAGCUUAGAUCUUUCUGACCUCAAGUCCAGAGCUCUAUGCACUGUGCCACUUAGCUGACCUGAGUCAAUAAAUGUUUAUUAAGUGCCUUCUGUGUGCCAGGCACUAUUCUAAGUGCUGGUGAUAUGAAAAGAGGUGAAAGACAAUCCUUGUCUUCAAGGACAUAAUCUAAUGGAAGAGUCAACAUGCAGAUAAAUAUAUGCAAAACAGCCUAUUGACAUGACAGGAAAUAAUUAACAGAGAAAAGGCACUAGAAUGAAGGGGGGCUGAGGAAGGCUUUCUAUAUUUAGUUGAGACUUAACGGAAGCCAGGAAAGCCUGUGGGCAGGAAUGAGGAGGAAAAUGUUCCAGAGAUGGCAGACAGUCAGAGAAAAUGCCUGGAACUGAGAGAUGGAGUGUCUUGUUUGCAGAGUAACCAGGAGAAAUGGUGGCUUACCUCGGUCCCAGCUUUGCUAAUAAAUCUGGAGCUGGUGGGAUGGAGAACCAGUACAAAAUGCCAAGUCAGCACAUUUCUCGUACCAGCAAAGGCCUUUAUCAGUUGGGGAGGAAGGGCUGAAGUCACCAGUUUUAGUUUCUGCAGCUCAGUUAGAGGCCACAGAAUGGAAAGAGACUGGAAUUCAGAUGACUUGGGCACAAGCAAUGGUUCCACCAUUAAUUCACCAUCUGGCUCAGUAAUUAGUGUCUCCCCUUCCUCAAUUAUUUUGUCAAUAUUUUGUAUGUAUUUUACACAGUAAAUGCCUAAUGCUUACUGAUUGAUUGACUUUCUGACUGGAACAUGAGUCGCUUCAUUUGGAUCUUAGUUUUCUCUGUAAAAUGAAGGGUUGAACUAGAUCAGUAAUUCUAAACCUGGGUACAUGUCAAAGGGCCUAUCAACUUGGAUGGGGGAAAAUGACAUCUCCAUAUUUUCUCUAACCUCUAACUGAAAUUGAGCAUUUCCUUCAGUGAUGGAUGUGAGUAACAGACACAAUUCUGAGACAGGGUCCCUGUCUUUCAUCAGAUUGCUAAAGAGAUCCAUGACACAUGGCUCAGAUCAUUUCUCAGGUUCUUUGGUUUUUUGAUAUUUAAUAUUCUAAGGUUCCUUUCAUUUUUCUCUAAUCUCUGAGCUCAGAAGGGCAUACCUCAUUAGGUGACUCACUCAAGGAAACCCAAUUUCUUUAGGGGCCAAAAAACUGAAAGGGUUACAGAGGGCCUCUUUAUGUAAUCACCAGUGUGCCUUCAGAAUCAUUUAAGAUAGCCAUAAUAAUUACAAAACUGGGUUCAAAUCCUGCCUCUGACAUUUACUACUUAUGUGACCUUGAGGGACUUAAAUAUUUUCCCUGGGCCUCAGUUUCCUCAUGUGUAAAAUGAAGGGGUUUGCUCAAAAGGUCUUUGAGGUUCCUUCUUACUCUAUAUCUGUUCCUAUGAAAUAUAGCUCAUCUUUAUAUAAUGCUUUACAGUUUAAGAUGAUUCCUCAUUCAUUCUAUUGUUUAAUCUUCCCCAAAACUAGUCAAAUCAUGUCAACAAGCAUUUUUAAGAACCUACUAUGUGCCAAGCACUCUGCUGAUCUCUGAAGGAAUGAAGUCAAAAAGCAGUCUCACUCUAAAGUAGUCCACAGGCUAAAGGAGAAGACAACAUGAAAUGACUGUGUGCAAACAAGCUAUAUACAAAUAAAUUGAGGGUGAUCUUUGAGGGAAGGCUUUAG